GUUCUCCAGUUUGCCUGCCUAGUCACAGCACAAGUGUGCAGAUCCUGUUUUGUUUUGCUUUAUUUUCAGAAUAGAAAAAGGGAUUAUUCAGUUUCUCUGCACCCUCUCUGUGCAGCUGAAUUUGACAGUAGAUACAGAGUUUUGCCAUGUUGGCCAGGCCAGUCUCGAACUGCUGACCUCAAGUGAUCCACCCACCUCGGCCUCUCAAAGUGCUGGGAUUACAGGCAGGGAGUCUCACCCUGUUGCCCAGCCUGGAGUGCAAUAGCGCGAUCUCGGCUCACUGCAACCUCCACCUACCAGAUUCAAGUGAUUCUCCUGCCUCAGCCUCCCGAGUAGCUGGGAUUACAGGUGCCUUUGCUGACUUUUAAAAACUCAUUCAAAAUUCCUCAUGUAUAAAAUCUCCUGGUGCACAUAUUAAGAACUCAUAGGUUAUAACUGAAAACAGAACUUCAUUCUUUUUCCCCAACAGAGAGUACCAUAACAAUUGUUAUUCCUAAUCUAUGGCUUAUUUCUUACAAACAUUGAAUAU